rnacentral:rRNA from 2 species
UACGGAGGGUGCGAGCGUUAAUCGGAAUUACUGGGCGUAAAGGGUGCGUAGGUGGUCUGAUAAGUUAUCUGUGAAAUCCCUGGGCUCAACCUGGGCAGGUCAGAUAAGACUGUUGGACUCGAGUAUUGGAGAGGGUAGUGGAAUUUCCGGUGUAGCGGUGAAAUGCGUAGAGAUCGGAAGGAACACCAGUGGCGAAGGCGGCUACCUGGCCAAAUACUGACACUGAGGCACGAAAGCGUGGGGAGCAAACAGG